CCAACGGCCCUCUUUAGGGCCAAUCAUUAAUAUAAAAUAUAACUUU
rnacentral:ncRNA from 14 species